rnacentral:lncRNA from 1 species
AGGCGGCGAAAAUUAGGAUUUGCAGUAGAGUGUAAAGUCAACGCUGGUGGAAUGGUCAGAGUUGGCGGAAGUGUCAGAGCUGGUGGCUCUCUUCAGCGCUGGCAUUUCAGAGUGGAAAAUCGGAGAUAGAGUGUAAGUUCAGCACUGGAAAGGGGCUUUUCUGCCUAACAUAAACAAGAACACUCCAAACCAAAGGCAUCAAAACAAAAAAACACAAAAGAAAGCAAAGAAAUAACAAAACAAAAAGAAACGAAAAGCAAACAAAGAAAAACAACAUUGGUUUCCUCCCAUGCAGCGCUAGUUUUAAAGUCGCCAGCCCAACUUAGAGAAACCCUUAACCAAAAUCACUAUGAAACGUCAGCUGAAUUAAUCCUUGGGAAAACACGUCCUCCUC